rnacentral:lncRNA from 1 species
GACAUUAGCUCGCAGCAUUUUAUUUAAACUGCAACACAGAGAAUGAAUUCAUUUUUCUCCUUGCAGAGGAAAAGUUGUAUAAUUACCUUCUGACACAAGUGGCCUAAAAUUUUGUUGUCCCCACCCCCUCUGUUUUCCUCCAUAUACAUUUGUUCACAACAUUAAUUUAUCCAAUAUUUGUGAAACUCACUCCCAUAGCUACAGCAGCAACAAUCUGCAGUGGGCAGCAGUUUCUCCAUAAUGACAUGAGCCCUGAUGUUUGCUCAUGCAUAGUCUGUUUCCAUUCAUUUCAUUCACAUCUGAUAAACAAGGCUUUGAAGUUAAAAGACGCUUUGUGCAUCAAGACGGUUUUACAGGCACUAUCAUCAACCUUAGAUUGUGAUUAAUGACCGUGCUCAAACAAAAUACGUCGGCUGCAAUCCCUGUUGUCUGUUAGCAUUUAUACAAUCGAAAGUAAUUGGCAAGGUAUCCAUCUCAUGCAAAGCUGUUUCUGUUUCUUUUUGCACAAGGACAGUCUGCAACAUGUGGUUUGGGGAAAAAGAAGACGACAGUAACUCAGAAUACAGUCAUACCUCGGGUUGAAUACGCUUCAGGUUGAGGGCUUUCGGGUUGCGCCCCGCGGUGAUCCGGAAGUAACGGAGUGUGUUACUUCCGGGUUUCGCCGCUCAUGCAUGCGCAGACGGUCAAAAUGAUGUCAAACGCAUGCGCAUAAGCGGCAAAUCGUGACCUGCACACGUGCAGACGCGCAGUCGCGGGUUGUGUUUGCUUCAGGAUGCAAACGGGGCUCCAGAACAGAUCCCGUUCGCAUCCUGAGGUACCAUUGUACUAAGAAAAACAUAGGGGUGUGUGUUGGGCUGCCGGCCUCCACCUUUUUGUAUUUGCUUCCAUAUAUAGUUCUUUGGCAGCCUUGUAAGAUGGCACUGACAUUUUAAAAGCUGAACAAGUUAAGCGAUCAACCCAAACUACACAAAUAAUAAAUUAUUAUUAUGAUUAAUAAUAAUAAUAAUACCCUGCCCAUCUGGGCGGCCCCCAGCAGAAUAUUAAAAACACGAUAAAACAUCAAACAUUAAAAACUUCCCUAAACUGGGUUGCCUACAGAUGUCUUCUAAAAGUCAGAUAGUUGGUUGUUUCCUUGACAUCUGAUGGGUGGGCGUUCCACAGGGCGGGCGCCACUACCGAAAAGGCCCUCUGCCUGGUUCCCUGUAGCUUCACUUCUCGCAGUGAGGGAACCGCCAGAAGGUCCUCGGAGCUGGACCUCAAUGUCUGGGCUGAAUGUUGGAGAUGGAGAUGCUCCUUUAGGUAUACUGGGCCGAGGCCGUUUAGGGCUUUAAAGGUCAGCACCAACACUUUGAAUUGUGCUCGGAAACGUACUGGGAGCCAAUGUAGGUCUUUCAGGACCAUUGUUAUGUGGUUUCGGCAGCCACUCCCAGUGGCCAGCUUAGCUGCCACAUUCUGGAUUAGUUGUAGUUUCCAGGUCACCUUCAAAGGUAGCCCCAUGUAGAGCACAUUUCGGUAGUCUCAAGCGGGAGAUAACUAGAGCAAGAAUAGAUAAUGUCACUGAAAGUUACAGAUGUAUAGCAAUAGCACUGUUUUUGAAAAAAACUUCAUCAAAGUUAGUGGGAGAAUGCAAUGCAAGGAGUGCCCUGCAUGCAACAUUAAGGGGCUAAAUACAGAUGCUCUAUUCCCGGCUGCUAUUAAAACUUGUAUCUGUCAUAAGUGUUGCAUUCACUUGCUAAAAAAUGGCUUCACUUGCAAUCAAUGCUACUGCACAGAUUUAUUGGGAAGCAGAUCUUUUCACAUAAGCUUCAUGUAGUAAUGGGCCUCUCUGUUCUCAUUCAUCAGAGCUAUUGUUGUUCAGAAAGCUUAGCCAACAUACAUGAAGAGCCUUGUGACUCAACUCACUACAGGAAAUGCUGAAAUCAACCCUUUGUUGACAGCUUCUGUUUCUCUGAAUGUGAUGGAUGUGGAGGGAGACUGGAGCAAAUCUCAUGUAAAAACAGCCAUUCUGUCUUGCUUUAAACAUGAUAGAUGGGUUGCUUGGAUGCAUGGGUACUAAAAAUUUUCUGUGCUUGAGUAAGCAGGUAUGCUGUAUCUGUGGUCCUGAUCUCUUCUACAUACCUUUCUCUCCCAGUUUGUUUCUAACACAGCCCCUGGUGGGAAUUCCUGCCUUAAGCAGAUAUGGGCCCGAUUUAGAGGCAAGAGAAUUCUGUAUAUCUAGCUGAAAAAGUUAAGCUGUCCCCUUUGUGAAGAAAUGCUGUAAACACACAUGUCAACAGGCUGACUGGGACAGAGGCAUCACUGCAGAGAAGAGAUUUCAUUAUUUCUUCUUGUGGGUGUUCUUCAGCUAUACAAAUGUUGGUUUGAAACUGAUGGUGCCCUUUGUUAGCAGAAAGACACUUCCAUUUCCACUAAGUGGCCUCUAUUUCUGUCAGUGCCUGAAUUCCUGCUGAAGCCAUACACAGCUCACCCUAUGCUGUUCUAUCAAGGCUUAGGAGCAGCUUUUCGGUGGGUGGAUGGUUGGUGCAGUGUGGAGGAAAGAGCAAGAAAGGUGUGUUUUGUAGUGAUGUUCCACUUGCACUUCUUUGUAUCCAAGCCAUUUUGUUCUGUACAGUCAUAUCUCGGGUUGAAGUUGCUUCAGGUUGAGCACUUUCGGGUUGCACUCUGCGGCGAUCCGGAAGUAACGGAACGCGUUACUUCCGGGUUUCGCUGCUCGCGCAUGCGCAGAUGGUCAAAAUGAUGUGGAAGCGGCGAAUCGCAACCUGCACACGCGCAGACGCGGGUUGCGUUUACUUCAGGAUGCGAACAGGGCUCUGGAACAGAUCCCAUUCGUAUCCAGAGGUACCACUGUACAAGGAACUUUCUGCAUCAGGCCCACUCAAAUGCAUCAGGCCCCUCUCUCCCUUAUAGGCCCUUUUAUCCCUCAAAUCAGCUGAGCAGUAUUGUGGGGUUAAUGAGUUGUUUUUAUUAGUCUGUAUUUUAUGAAUGGUUAAAAUGUAACACGUCAUAUCUAAAACCAGCAGUUAAAAUAUAAUUUGUCCUGACAGCAGCCCAGUGACCAAUAUCAUCUGCAUGCAAGUAGAAAGAUAACAUAGAGGAGUCCAUCUAACCCAUCCUUGGGUAUGACGUUCACAAUCUGGGAGCAGUCACAGAAAAGCUUGCUCUUGGCUUACCACCAUGUUUCCGCGGUUGAUGGGACUUAGAGGAGUUGCUCACUUGAGGAUCUUUGCACUUGGGCAGGUUUGUAUAGGGAGAUAGAACCUUCAGGUGGCCUGAGCCCAAGCCAUAUAGGGCAUUAUAGGUCAUAACUGGCACUUUGAAUUCUGCCCAUAAACAGACC